rnacentral:rRNA from 1 species
AGUGAACGCUGGCGGCAGGCCUAACACAUGCAAGUCGAACGGCAGCACAGCAGUAGCAAUACUGUGGGUGGCGAGUGGCGGACGGGUGAGGAAUACAUCGGAAUCUGCCUAGUCGUGGGGGAUAACGUAGGGAAACUUACGCUAAUACCGCAUACGACCUACGGGUGAAAGCGGGGGAUCGCAAGACCUCGCGCGAUUAGAUGAGCCGAUGUCCGAUUAGCUAGUUGGCGGGGUAAUGGCCCACCAAGGCGACAAUCGGUAGCUGGUCUGAGAGGAUGAUCAGCCACACUGGAACUGAGACACGGUCCAGACUCCUACGGGAGGCAGCAGUGGGGAAUAUUGGACAAUGGGCGCAAGCCUGAUCCAGCCAUGCCGCGUGGGUGAAGAA